ACUUGAUUAGUUUAAAUUAAAAAUUAUAAAUUGUGGAUUUAUAGAUGAAAAAAUCAUUGAGUA
rnacentral:tRNA from 1 species